UAACCAUGAAAUACACAAGUAUAUGCUUAAAAUUUUGAUGUAAAAUAACUUGUGAGAAGUUAUGAAUCCUUGAGCAUAAUGAAAAUGUUGUUUGCAUGAUAUACAUAUAUAUGAUACAUAAGAUUAUUUCUUUAUUCUGCUCUUUCAUGUAAAUUACUUGAGAAUAACAAAAAGAGAGAGAGAUAAAGAAAAGAAAAUGGACAUUGUUCAAGAGAUGAAAAAUCUGAGCAAAGGCAAGUACUUCAAUCUUAAGGAAAAGCAAAACAAGCAUAAUAUAUUCGGCACAUUUGGAAGGGAUAAAAUCUAUAAUUAAUUACACUCAAACAGGGAGAGUUUGAAGUAAACAUUUUAACCUUUCUAUAUUGCUCAUCAUAGGGAUGGUGCCAAUGGAAAGGCUAGUGGUAGUACCCGGCACUAUUUGACCCAACUAUUCGGUGUAGGGCAUAUUAGGGACGGCACAAGAGGGAGGCUAAUGGUAGUACCUCGUGCCCCUUCCCAACUCCACCGGAUAGGGAGCAAAUAGAGUAUAGAGCUUAAGAAAGUUAAAA
rnacentral:lncRNA from 1 species